rnacentral:lncRNA from 1 species
UCUUCUCUUCUCAGUUUUCAUCUCCUGACUUUUUCGGUCUGCAGUUUUUCCUCCCCAUCGAAGUCGAUCUUCCGUCCGUGUUCCGUCUCUGGUCCGUGUUCCGUCCACCGACCACUAUCACCGUUUUCCUCCAUCGUCGUGUCUGAUCUUCCGUCUUCCCCAUUUGCCAUCGCCAACACAGUGACACCGGUCUUCCAUCUUCCCUCAUCAUCAUCGACCAUCACUGAUGCCGUCUUCCUAUCUUCGGCCAUCACCAUUAGUUAUUUUGGAUAAGGAUCCUCCGAAUCUCCUUCCUCUGGAUCUCAAGUCUUAGAUUCCUUAAUCCCUAU